ACACGACUCUCGGCAAUGGAUAUCUCGGCUCUCGCAUCGAUGAAGAGCGCAGUGAAAUGCGAUAUGUGGUGCGAAUUGCAGAAUCCCGCGAACCAUCGAGUCUUUGAACGCAAGUUGCGCCCGAGGCCAACCGGCUAAGGGCACGUCCGCCUGGGCGUCAAGC
rnacentral:rRNA from 1 species